AUACUUACCUGGCAGAGGUGAUAUCUUGAUCACAAAUGUGGUUCACCCAGGGCGAGGCUCUGCCAUUGCACUUGGCUGGUGCUGACUCUUGUGAAUUCCCUAAAUGCGGGAAUCUCGACUGCAUAAUUUCUGGUAGUGGGGGACUGAGUUUGCCAGCGUUCUG
ensembl:snRNA U1 U1 spliceosomal RNA